AGUGAUGAGCUCAGCAGAUCCUCUGAUGUUUGCUAAUUGCUGCUGGUUAGUCUGAAGGAGCUGAGUGGCCAGCAGGAGGUUCACCAAGGCGUUUUAGACAGCUGAAAGUUUCAGUUCUCAAUGACCUGCUUUUCCAGUUCUGGUAAAAUUUCCAGUCUCCUGAAGGCUGCAGAGAACCUGCUGAGGUGGUUUCUGAGUAAAUCAACAAGCUCUCGCUCAGUUCCGGAUUUUUCCGCCUCUGGCCGCUAGGACAUCCCAGGUUCUGCAGAGGUUCUGUUCAGUCGGACCGGCUCGGUUCUGCCUACCCGGUCGUAACGCCGGUGGAUCUGGACCCCCAUCGCCUCGGUGAA